CACGUAGGGGGCAAGCGUUGUCCGGAUUUAUUGGGCGUAAAGAGCUCGUAGGCGGCUUAGUAAGUCGGGUGUGAAACCUCCAGGCUCAACCUGGAGACGCCACCCGAUACUGCUGUGGCUAGAGUCCGGUAGGGGAACGUGGAAUUCCUGGUGUAGCGGUGAAAUGCGCAGAUAUCAGGAGGAACACCAGCGGCGAAGGCGGCGCUCUGGGCCGGUACUAACGCUGAGGAGCGAAAGCGUGGGGAGCAAACAGG
rnacentral:rRNA from 1 species